rnacentral:rRNA from 1 species
AUUGAACGCUGGCGGCAGGCCUUACACAUGCAAGUCGAGCGAGAAAUUUUCUUCGGAAAAGAGUAAAGCGGCGGACGGGUGAGUAACGCGUAGGAAUCUACCUAGUAGUGGGGGACAACAUGUGGAAACGCAUGCUAAUACCGCAUACGCCCUAUGGGGGAAAGCAGGGGAUCUUCGGACCUUGUGCUAUUAGAUGAGCCUGCGUCGGAUUAGUUUGUUGGUAGGGUAAUGGCCUACCAAGACUACGAUCCGUAGCUGGUCUGAGAGGAUGAUCAGCCACACUGGGACUGAGACACGGCCCAGACUCCUACGGGAGGCAGCAGUGGGGAAUAUUGGACAAUGGGCGCAAGCCUGAUCCAGCCAUGCCGCGUGUGUGAAGAAGGCUCUAGGGUUGUAAAGCACUUUCAGUAGGGAGGAAAAGUUAGUAGUUAAUAACUGCUAGCCCUGACGUUACCUACAGAAGAAGCACCGGCAAACUCCG